CAAAGAACUUUGAAGAGAGAGUUAAAGAGGACGUGAAACUGGUAAUGGCGAAGCAGAUAGCGUUGACGAGACCGGCGGUAUUCAGUGUCGGCGCACUGUGACCCCUCCUGCGUGUAUCGCUCUGCGAUGCCACAGGGGGGUUGACGCGGUGUGUCCGGUGCGGUUUUGCCGUCGGUAUACGCUGAGACGCUCGGGUGUUCCUGCGAGCCGUACGUCGUGUGGCCCACCCUCGGUGGUAACCUGCGUGUGCGGUGCGUGGAUGUGGCAUUCUGGGUGGCUCUUGCGGUAGGCUCUGCCUUUGCGCACGCGGCGUGUGUGCUUGUCGUUGGCGUCGGAGGAGGCAUUUAUGUCUCGCUGACGCUUUGAUGGCAGGUGCGCGUGUCGUGUGCCAUGGGGCCUACUCUCGGCGUUGUGGAAGUCAAUCACCUAUCUGUCCCGUCUUGAAACACGGACCAAGAAGUCUAGUACAUGCGCGAGUCAUUGGGUGCGAAAACUCAUUGGCGCAAUGAAAGUGAAGGAUUGCUCGUCAGUCUGAUACGCGAUCCGUGGCUCGUCCGCGGCGCAGCGUAGCCCCAUGUCGUCUGCAUGCAGUGAUGUGGAGGUAGAGCGUAUGUACUGGGACCCGAAAGAUGGUGAACUAUGCCUGAGCAGGACGAAGCCAGAGGAAACUCUGGUGGAAGUCCGAAGCGGUUCUGACGUGCAAAUCGAUCGCCAGACUUGGGUAUAGGGGCGAAAGACUAAUCGAACCAUC
rnacentral:rRNA from 1 species